rnacentral:rRNA from 1 species
UGGGGAAUAUUGGGCAAUGGGCGCAAGCCUGACCCAGCGACGCCGCGUGAGGGAAGACAGCCUUCGGGUUGUAAACCUCUGUUGCAGGGGAAGAAGGAAGUGACGGUACCCUGCGAGGAAGCUCCGGCUAACUACGUGCCAGCAGCCGCGGUAAUACGUAGGGAGCGAGCGUUGUCCGGAAUUACUGGGCGUAAAGGGCGCGUAGGCGGCGCUUCAAGUCGUCUGUCAAAAGCCGAGGCUCAACCUCGGUGCGCAGACGAAACUGGAGAGCUUGAGAAGCAGAGAGGCAAACAGAAUUCCUGGUGUAGCGGUGAAAUGCGUAGAUAUCAGGAAGAAUACCAGUGGCGAAGGCGGUUUGCUGGCUGCAUACUGACGCUGAAGCGCGAAAGCCAGGGGAGCAAACG